rnacentral:rRNA from 1 species
GGAUAACUUACCCUUAGGACUGGGAUAACUCUGGGAAACUGGGGAUAAUACUAGAUAGGCAAUUUUUCCUGGAAUGGUUUUUUGUUUAAAUGUUUUUUCGCCUAAGGAUGGGUCUGCGGCCGAUUAGGUAGUUGGUUAGGUAACGGCUUACCAAGCCAUUGAUCGGUACGGGUUGUGAGAGCAAGGGCCCGGAGAUGGAACCUGAGACAAGGUUCCAGACCCUACGGGGUGCAGCAGGCGCGAAACCUCCGCAAUGUACGAAAGUGCGACGGGGGGAUCCCAAGUGUUAUGCUUUUUUGUAUGACUUUUCAUUAGUGUAAAAAGCUUUUAGAAUAAGAGCUGGGCAAGACCGGUGCCAGCCGCCGCGGUAACACCGGCAGCUCGAGUGGUAGCUGUUUUUAUUGGGCCUAAAGCGUUCGUAGCCGGUUUGAUAAGUCUCUGGUGAAAGCUUGUAGCUUAACUAUAAGAAUUGCUGGAGAUACUAUUAGACUUGAAGUCGGGAGAGGUUAGAGGUACUACCGGGGUAGGGGUGAAAUCCUAUAAUCCUGGGAGGACCACCUGUGGCGAAGGCGUCUAACUGGAACGAUCUCGACGGUGAGUAACGAAAGCCGGGGGCGCGAACCGGAUUAGAUACCCGGGUAGUCCUGGCCGUAAACGAUGUGGACUUGGUGUUGGAAUGGCUUUGAGUUGUUCCGGUGCCGAAGGGAAGCUGUUAAGUCCACCGCCUGGGAAGUACGGUCGCAAGACUGAAACUUAA